GGUGGAGUUUAGUCUACCGAUUGAACUGCAUGGCUAGAAGUCUAUGGAACCUUGACUUUCUCCGUGGGAAAAAUAUUUACAAGUGGACACAACGUUGAAGGAAACAACCAAGACACGCUGAAUACCUAAUAUGAGACCUGACUUCAUGCGGGAUAUUGCUUUAUUUUGCGACAGCUGUCAGUAACGCGGUUACGAAGGGCUCGGGCCAAUAUUAAUAUUUACAUAAUCGCGCUGAUUUAGGGCUCGCUCGUCUUUGAAUUGACUUCAAAUGGAAGACUGCGCGCACUGAUAUUUAAGUCAACUCACAGAUCAACUUGCUUCACAGGCGAGAUAUAAAACAUGUACAGUAUUGUUGAUUAUUUUGGGUAAUUCAGAAAAACAAGUUAUACAACAGGGAAGUGUAGUUUUAGUUGCGUCCUGGUCCUAAAGCCGGUCGUGUAUUCGGCCGUUGCGCGGUAUCCAGCGCGCGCCCCAAUGCUUCAACUGUGGUCGUGUUCCAAAUCAUUAGACAUGAAGAUGGAUAGUGUUUUGUUAGAGCAAGGCUAAUAAUUUUUUUGCAGUAUAUAAUCCACAAUCACGCGAAUACAUAGUGACUUAAUUGGAUAAGUUGUAAUUUUUACGCUUCUGAAAGCAGUUUCUUCUUGGAGCGUGUAGUAAGGCAACGCGAAGGAGGUCUGUAUCGAAGCACCCCAGCAUACUACAAACGGUUGAAGGGAUUUUAAGUGGAGUAAUGGUGGUAAACACGGUCCACUGGUUCAGGAAGGGCUUGCGGCUCCACGACAAUCCUUCACUCAGAGACUCUAUCCAGGGAGCGGACACUGUCCGCUGUGUGUACAUCCUCGACCCCUGGUUCGCCGGAUCCUCCAACGUCGGGAUCAGCAGGUGGAGGUUUUUACUGCAGUGUUUGGAAGACUUGGAUGCCAGCCUCCGCAAACUCAACUCACGACUCUUUGUUAUCCGUGGCCAACCUACCGAUGUCUUCCCCAGGCUCUUUAAGGAGUGGAACAUUACUCGUCUGUCCUACGAGUACGACUCAGAGCCAUUUGGAAAGGAGCGAGACGCGGCCAUCAAGAAGCUGGCCAGUGAGGCAGGUGUGGAGGUGAUAGUUCGCAUCUCUCACACACUCUACGAUCUGGACCAGAUCAUCGAGCUGAAUGGAGGCCAGUCUCCGCUCACGUACAAGCGCUUCCAGACCCUCAUCAGCAGGAUGGAGGCGGUGGAGACCCCGGCAGAGACCAUCACAGCAGAAGUCAUGGGGCUGUGCACCACGCCGGUCUCUGAAGACCACGAUGAGAAGUUCGGGGUUCCUUCUUUGGAAGAGCUUGGCUUUGACACAGAAGGUCUGUCCUCAGCUGUGUGGCCUGGAGGAGAAACAGAGGCCCUCACUCGUCUGGAGAGGCACCUGGAGAGGAAGGCUUGGGUUGCCAACUUUGAGCGUCCAAGAAUGAAUGCCAAUUCACUGUUGGCCAGUCCCACUGGCCUCAGUCCAUAUUUAAGAUUCGGCUGCCUCUCCUGUCGACUUUUCUACUUCAAACUCACAGACCUCUACAGAAAGGUCAAAAAGAACAGCUCACCUCCUCUGUCCCUCUAUGGCCAAUUACUGUGGCGUGAAUUCUUCUACACGGCUGCCACCAACAACCCAUGCUUUGACAAGAUGGAAGGCAAUCCUAUUUGCGUGCAGAUCCCAUGGGACAAAAACCCGGAGGCUUUGGCCAAGUGGGCUGAGGGCAGGACUGGUUUCCCCUGGAUCGAUGCCAUCAUGACCCAACUGAGACAAGAGGGCUGGAUCCACCAUCUGGCCCGACACGCAGUCGCUUGUUUCCUCACCCGCGGAGACCUGUGGAUCAGCUGGGAGGAGGGCAUGAAAGUUUUCGAGGAGCUGUUGCUGGACGCAGACUGGAGCGUGAAUGCAGGAAGCUGGAUGUGGUUGUCCUGUAGCUCCUUCUUCCAGCAAUUCUUCCACUGCUACUGUCCCGUGGGCUUCGGCCGCCGCACAGACCCCAACGGAGACUACAUACGGCGAUAUUUGCCAGUGUUAAGGGGAUUCCCAGCAAAGUAUAUCUACGACCCCUGGAUUGCUCCUGAAAGCAUCCAGAAAGCAGCCAAAUGUAUAAUUGGUGUACACUACCCCAAACCCAUGGUGCAUCACGCGGAGGCAAGCCGCCUCAACAUAGAGCGUAUGAAACAGAUCUACCAGCAGCUGUCCUGCUACCGUGGCCUGGGGCUGUUGGCAAUGGUGCCAUCGAACCCUAAUGGCAAUAAUGACAAUUCCACAACCAUAAAUGGUUUCCAAACAGGAGAUGUGACCAAGGACAUCAGUGCACCUUCAGGCUAUUCUCAAGAUGAAUGGCAUGGCAGAACGAUGGUUUACUCACAAGGAGACCACCAAACAAGCAGCAUCAUGCCACCGCAAGGUUUUUCAGGCAACACUAGUAGCACAAUGUGCUACAGGCAAGAAUCACAGCAGAUAUCUGGUGCUGCUGUACAGCCAGGACGAGGGCUUCACAGCAGCACCUUCCAGACAUCUGGAAAACGACACAGCGAGGAGUCUGGACCUGCCACAGGCUCAAAAGUCCAGAGGCUGAGCAGCUCCUAAACAUCAGAAAUGGUCGAUGCAAAGUGGUCAGCAAGACUUCGCAGAGGCCUGUUUUGUUUUGUUUUGUUUUCGCACCUUUCUCGAGUUGUUACGUUUUGCAUUUCUACAGAGGAAACCAAAAUCCCACUGACGGGAGCGAUUGAAGGGAGUGCAUGAUUCUCUAUAAGCACAUCAACACAUACCACUUCGAAAACAAUCAGACUGUACAUUAUCACCGGGACUUCACCCCAAGCAGUCAGCAACAUCCUGACAACAUUGGAAUUACGUUGUGGCUCUGAGAUCUGCACAGCUGCAAUAUUGUGUCAACGUUGGGCUCAUGUUUGUACUGUUUGGGACUUAAUUUUUGUGUAUAUAAGGAUUUGAAAAAUACUCACAUACAAAAUGUAAAUAUUUAACAUUGUAUGUGCUUUCUCUAUUUCAUGUAGUUAUAGACCCAUUGAUAUAUUUUUGAUAUAAAGAAUUAUUGUCAAUCAAUUUUACUCUCUUCUUUAUGAAAACAUUUUAAAACAUUUGUAGACUGUCCAUGCAGUACAUUACUAAGCCUCUCCUCGGGCUGCUUGCUUGCACUAUGUUUUUCUUGAUUUCUCCUUUGCAUGCUUGUUCUCUCUGUCUCUACCACAAAUGUUUGUGAUCUGUUAUUUUUCAGACUGGCACCUGUCUUGUACACCUUCUCAGUCCCCGUUUACUCCUCCUCUCUAUCUGGGUGUCUCUUCAUUGCUGUAAACAGUGUUUCUCAUCCUCUUACAUUGUGCUUGUUUAAUAAAGUAAAACUGUAAAAAAAAA